ACUGGGAAAAAGGACUGGAGUAGAGUCCCACCAGGGGCUGGCUAACUUUUGACUUUGCCAAGAAGCUCACUGACACAUAUUUUCCUUCGAGCAAUAGAAGCCUUUGCAAUAUGGAAAAAGUCACAUGUGAUCCGAAGGCGUCUGGAGGGGAGCUCUGAGUGCGGGGAACUGACCUUUGCAACCACCUACCCAGAGCUGAGACUGGCGAAGGGCGAGCGGAGCCUCCAGGAAUGAUGUCUGGUGCCCUCCACAGCUGCCUUACCAAGUCCUGCGUGCUGGCACCACCACCUUGGAGGAGGAAAGCCCUCCCCCAUUUUCCUGCCCUGCUCCCACUUUUCCUCAGAACCUCAGAGGGAGGCCUAUGGAAGAAAGCUUACCGAAGAAGCUCCAUGGAGCCACAGCCACAGAAUCCUGGCCACAGAAUCCCACCCUCAGAGCACCAAGGUCUGCCUUGUUGGAGGGUGCAUGUUAAAAACAGAAGGCUG